rnacentral:ncRNA from 1 species
GGGAUGUACUUAGCGUCCCCUGUGUGGGCGUGUUAAUAGUGGCACUUUUGGCCGAGUGUCAUGGUUAGUGAAUC